AAAGGAAUUGACGGGGACCCGCACAAGCGGUGGAGCAUGUUGUUUAAUUCGAAGCAACGCGAAGAACCUUACCUACACUUGACAUACCUCUUAGGACUUUCAGAGAUGAUUGUUUUCAGUUCGGCUGGGGAGAGUACAGGUGCUGCAUGGCUGUCGUCAGCUCGUGUCGUGAGAUGUUGGGUUAAGUCCCGCAACGAGCGCAACCCUUAUCGUAUGUUGCCAGCAUUUAGUUGGGCACUCAUGCGAGACUGCCGGUGAUAAGCCGGAGGAAGGCGGGGACGACGUCAAGUCAUCAUGGCCCUUACGUGUAGGGCUACAAACGUGCUACAAUGGUGGUGACAGUGGGCACUGAGGCUGUGAGGCCAAAGUAAUCCCUAAAAGCCAUCUCAGUUCAGAUUGUAGUCUGCAACUCGACUACAUGAAGUUGGAAUCGCUAGUAAUCGUGAAUCAGCAUGUCACGGUGAAUACGUUCCCGGGUCUUGUACACACCGCCCGU
rnacentral:rRNA from 1 species